UACGUAGGGUGCGAGCGUUAAUCGGAAUUACUGGGCGUAAAGCGUGCGUAGGCGGUUCCUCAAGUCCGUUGUGAAAGCCCCGGGCUCAACCUGGGAAUGGCAGUGGAAACUAGGGGACUGGAAUCUGGCAGAGGGGGGUGGAAUGCCGCGUGUAGCAGUGAAAUGCGUAGAGAUGCGGCGGAACACCGAUGGCGAAGGCAGCCCCCUGGGCUGAGAUUGACGCUCAGGCACGAAAGCGUGGGGAGCAAACGGG
rnacentral:rRNA from 1 species